UCAGCAGGGAUUGGCUGUGCUGACUCUCAGGCUGUAACAGGCUGUGGGGGGACGUUUGCCCUCCUGUCCCAGAGUUUCCCAGUCUGUCCUCGGGGUGAGAGUGUGGUGGGUAUCGAACCAGUGCCUGGGAGAUGGAGCCGGUGACUGAGUGGAUCCGACACCGGUUCCCCACGGUGGGGAAUGUCUGUCCCGGUCAGCUGGAGCAGCUGGUGAAGGAGAACCAGCAGGGGGUGCUGCUGCUGGAAGGAAUGCUGCUCAGACUAUAGUGUGUUACUGUACGGUCGGAUUCCAUGCGUCACAGCUGAUUGAGAAACUCCUUGAGUUCUUGGCUGGAGAUUGUAGCCAGUUUCAGAGGGCAAUGAGUAUUUACAACCUCGAAGGGGGGCUCCUGAGAUGGGCUGAGGAGAAGAAGCCACUGGUUGACUGUAUGAAGCAGCCCACCACCCAGGUUCACCCUUACUGCCGGCUCUGGGCUCAGUUACUGCAAGCUGACUUCAAAGCUCCUCAGUGACCCACUUAGAGACAUUGGCAUCAAUACAACCAUCACUAACUAACCAUCACCAUCCAGCCAUCACUAACUAACCAUCAGUAACUAGCCAUCACCAACCCAACUAUGAACCCAACCAUCACUAACUAACCAUCAGUAACUAGCCACCACCAACCCAACUAUCACUAACUAACCAUCACCAACCCAACCAUGAACCCAACCAUCACUAACUAUCUAUCACCAACUAGCUGUUGCUAACUAACCAUCAACCCAACCAUCACCAUAACUAACCAUCGCCCUUACCGUGCUGCCAGUUCUGACUGUCCUGACCUUCCCCUUACUGGGUGAUUAGUGCCUGCUCCUAUAACCCCCUCAGUCUCUCACACCAUCUGUCAUCAAACUUGUUAAUCAUAGACCAUUAGACUAUAAAAUGUAGGAGCAGAUGUAGGCCAUUCAGCCCAUCAAGUCUGCUCCACCUUUCAGUGGCUGAACUGAUCAUCCUCUUUAACUCUACUUUUCCUUAUAACUGUUAAUUCCUUUUCUGCUUAAAGACCUAUCUCAGCCGUGAUUAUACGCAAUGACCCAGCCUCGACAUCUCGCUGUAAGUGAUGAAUUCUCCAGAUUCACUCCCCUCUGAGAGAAGAGAUUCCUCCUCAUCUCUGUCUUCAAUGAGUAACCCUUUAUUCUGAGACACUGCCCUCUGGUCCCAGACUCUUCCACAUCGGGGGACAACCUCCCCACAUCUCCCCUGUCAAAUCCUCUAAGCAUCUUGUAAACAUGUCAAUAAGGUCACCUCAUUGUUCUAAACCUCAAUGAGUACAGGCCCCAAUCCACUCAACCUCUCCUCAUAGGACAGCCCCUCCAUCCCUGGGAUCAGCCAAGUGAACUUUCUGUGCACUGCUCCCAGUGCCAAUCUAUCCUUCCUUAGGUCAGGGACUGGGCACAGUAUUCCAGCCUUACUGAUUACUGCCUUACACUACUGCCACUGCAUGUCUGAGACAGUGCCUUCAGAAAGAGCUAGAAAAACAUAGACAGUGUUAACCUCAACUUUCCCUAGAAUUCCAUUACAUUUACAUCUGACUCACCCUUAACCCACUCACAAAGUAAUCCAUGUUUUUUAGAACAAUUUCACAUCAACAAUUCAAAUAUUACCACCACACUUUUACAUCUGUACUUUCACAUCUUGUGACAAAGCCCUUGUGAGUGUAACAGCACCACGACCCUCAACGGGGUUAACAAUUUACAAAUUAAAAUGUCAGUGUCUGCGCUGGUCUGCACUCGGCCUGGGCCUCGAA